rnacentral:rRNA from 1 species
GAUGAACGCUAGCGGCAGGCCUAAUACAUGCAAGUCGAGGGGUAGAGGUUGCUUGCAGCCUUGAGACCGGCGCACGGGUGCGUAACGCGUAUGCAACCUACCUUCAUCAGGGGGAUAGCCCGGAGUAAUCCGGAUUAACACCGCAUAAAAUCACAGUACGGCAUCGUACAAUGAUCAAACAUUCAUGGGAUGGAGAUGGGCAUGCGUGCCAUUAGCUAGUUGGCGGGGUAACGGCCCACCAAGGCUUCGAUGGCUAGGGGAUCUGAGAGGAUGGCCCCCCACACUGGUACUGAGACACGGACCAGACUCCUACGGGAGGCAGCAGUAAGGAAUAUUGGUCAAUGGGCGCAAGUCUGAACCAGCCAUGCCGCGUGCAGGAAGACGGCCCUCCGGGUUGUAAACUGCUUUUAUUCGGGAAUAAACCUGUCUACGUGUAGACAGCUGAAUGUACCGAAGGAAUAAGGAUCGGCUAACUCCGUGCCAGCCGCCGCGGUAA